AUUGAACGCUGGCGGCAUGCCUUACACAUGCAAGUCGAACGGCAGCACGGGAGCAAUCCUGGUGGCGAGUGGCGAACGGGUGAGUAAUAUAUCGGAACGUGCCCAGUCGUGGGGGAUAACGUAGCGAAAGCUACGCUAAUACCGCAUACGAUCUAUGGAUGAAAGCGGGGGAUCGCAAGACCUCGCGCGAUUGGAGCGGCCGAUAUCAGAUUAGCUAGUUGGUGGGGUAAAGGCCCACCAAGGCGACGAUCUGUAGCUGGUCUGAGAGGACGACCAGCCACACUGGAACUGAGACACGGUCCAGACUCCUACGGGAGGCAG
rnacentral:rRNA from 1 species